rnacentral:tRNA from 1 species
ACAAUGGUCUUGUAAGCCAUAAAUGAAAACUAUUUUUAAGGGUAUU